UGGGGAAUUUUGGACAAUGGGCGCAAGCCUGAUCCAGCCAUGCCGCGUGCGGGAAGAAGGCCUUCGGGUUGUAAACCGCUUUUAGCCGGGACGAAAAGGCCACGGAUAACACCUGUGGUUUUUGACGGUACCGGCGGAAUAAGCACCGGCUAACUACGUGCCAGCAGCCGCGGUAAUACGUAGGGUGCGAGCGUUAAUCGGAAUUACUGGGCGUAAAGCGUGCGCAGGCGGUUCGUCGUGUCUGUCGUGAAAGCCCCGGGCUUAACCUGGGAAUGGCGAUGGAAACUGGCGGGCUGGAGUGUGGCAGAGGGGGGUGGAAUUCCGCGUGUAGCAGUGAAAUGCGUAGAGAUGCGGAGGAACACCGAUGGCGAAGGCAGCCCCCUGGGUCAACACUGACGCUCAGGCACGAAAGCGUGGGGAGCAAACAG
rnacentral:rRNA from 1 species